rnacentral:tRNA from 1 species
AAGGGCUUAGCUUAAUUAAAGCGUUUGAUUUGCAUUCAAUAGACGUGAGAUAAAUUCUUGCAGUCCUUA